UACGUAGGGGGCAAGCGUUGUCCGGAAUUAUUGGGCGUAAAGCGCGUGUAGGCGGCUCGGUAAGUCUGCUGUGAAAGUCCAGGGCUCAACCCUGGAAUGCCGGUGGAUACUGUCGAGCUCGAGUCCGGAAGAGGCGAGUGGAAUUCCUGGUGUAGCGGUGAAAUGCGCAGAUAUCAGGAGGAACACCAAUGGCGAAGGCAGCUCGCUGGGACGGUACUGACGCUGAGACGCGAAAGCGUGGGGAGCGAACAGG
rnacentral:rRNA from 1 species